rnacentral:rRNA from 1 species
UACGUAGGGGGCAAGCGUUGUCCGGAAUCAUUGGGCGUAAAGAGCGUGUAGGCGGCCCGAUAAGUCCGCUGUGAAAGUCCAGGGCUCAACCCUGGGAGGCGGGUGGAUACUGCUGAGCUCGAGUCCGGAAGAGGCGAGUGGAAUUCCUGGUGUAGCGGUGAAAUGCGCAGAUAUCAGGAGGAACACCAACGGCGAAGGCAGCUCGCUGGGACGGUACUGACGCUGAGACGCGAAAGCGUGGGGAGCAAACAGG